rnacentral:rRNA from 1 species
GAUAACUAGUCGAAAGAUUAGCUAAUACCGCAUACGAUCUACGGAUGAAAGCGGGGGAUCGCAAGACCUCGUGCUCAUAGAGCGGCCGAUAUCUGAUUAGCUAGUUGGUGAGGUAAAGGCUCACCAAGGCUUCGAUCAGUAGCUGGUCUGAGAGGACGACCAGCCACACUGGGACUGAGACACGGCCCAGACUCCUACGGGAGGCAGCAGUGGGGAAUUUUGGACAAUGGGGGCAACCCUGAUCCAGCAAUGCCGCGUGAGUGAAGAAGGCCUUCGGGUUGUAAAGCUCUUUUGUCAGGGAAGAAACGGGAUUUUCUAAUACAGAGUCCUAAUGACGGUACCUGAAGAAUAAGCACCGGCUAACUACGUGCCAGCAGCCGCGGUAAUACGUAGGGUGCAAGCGUUAAUCGGAAUUACUGGGCGUAAAGCGUGCGCAGGCGGUUAUGUAAGACAGGUGUGAAAUCCCCGGGCUUAACCUGGGAAUGGCAUUUGUGACUGCAUAGCUAGAGUGUGUCAGAGGGGGGUAGAAUUCCACGUGUAGCAGUGAAAUGCGUAGAGAUGUGGAGGAAUACCGAUGGCGAAGGCAGCCCCCUGGGAUAACACUGACGCUCAU